CAGUAGCCGCGGUAAUGCGAAGGGUGCAAGCGUUACUCGGAAUUACUGGGCGUAAAGCGUGCGUAGGUGGUGGUUUAAGUCCGUUGUGAAAGCCCUGGGCUCAACCUGGGAAUUGCAGUGGAUACUGGGUCACUAGAGUGUGGUAGAGGAUAGUGGAAUUUCCGGUGUAGCAGUGAAAUGCGUAGAGAUCGGAAGGAACAUCUGUGGCGAAGGCGACUAUCUGGGCCAACACUGACACUGAGGCACGAAAGCGUGGGGAGCAAACAGGAUUAGAUACCCCCGUAGUCCCUGUCUCUUAUAC
rnacentral:rRNA from 1 species